rnacentral:rRNA from 1 species
GAUGAACGCUAGCGACAGGCUUAAUACAUGCAAGUCGUGGGGCAGCAGGAGUAGCAAUACUUGCUGGCGACCGGCAAACGGGUGCGUAACACGUACGCAACCUUCCUUCAGGCGGGGAAUAGCCCAGAGAAAUUUGGAUUAAUACCCCAUAAUAUUUUGAGAUGGCAUCAUCUUAUUAUUAAAGCUUCGGCACCUGAUGAUGGGCGUGCGGCUGAUUAGGUAGUUGGCGGGGUAACGGCCCACCAAGCCUUCGAUCAGUAGCUGAUGUGAGAGCAUGAUCAGCCACACGGGCACUGAGACACGGGCCCGACUCCUACGGGAGGCAGCAGUAAGGAAUAUUGGUCAAUGGACGAAAGUCUGAACCAGCCAUGCCGCGUGGAGGAUGAAGGUCCUCUGGAUUGUAAACUUCUUUUAUUUGGGACGAAAAAAGGGAAUUCUUUCCCACUUGACGGUACCAGAUGAAUAAGCACCGGCUAACUCCGUGC